rnacentral:misc_RNA from 1 species
UCCGCCUUUACCUCCUCCAAUUCCACCACCACCACCAACUCCUCCUCCAGCACCACCUCCACCUCCAACACCACCUCCCACUCCCCCACCUUUGCCUCCUCCAAUUCCGCCUCCACCACCAACGCCACCUCCACCUCCGGCACCUCCUCCCCCUCCCCCACCUUUGCCUCCUCCUAUUCCGCCACCAGCACCACCACCAAGUCCUACUCCAGCACCACCUCCUACUCCCCCACCAGCACCACCUCCAGCACCACCUCCUACUCCACCACCUUUACCUCCUCCAACUCCG